rnacentral:lncRNA from 1 species
UAAGAAAGUGUGGUUUUUAUUUUAUAAUAGGAUACAGAGUUAACUUUAUUUAAUACCCCUCAAAGUGUAAGUACACCUAAAAUAGGAGGAGGUUUCCAAAACAGGGACUCUGAUACUAUAAUGUUGUUCAUUGCAGAAGUCCAGUGAUCUGUGUGGUUCCCAUCUCACCCACGAAUAUCCCAGGGCUGAAAUCUUCAGUUUUGGGGAAAAAGUGCUGCACUGUUGUGCCUGACCCACUGCCCUCUCUGAGUUCCAGAAACUGGAUGUAUGAACUUGCAGUAAACAUUUUAAAUGCUUACAGCCCUGGAAAGAAGAGUGAGCUACAUAUGAAAAGGCAUUAAAGUCAGUUCAUGUGAUGCAUACCUUUGUGAUUCCACUUCCCAUGGGAAUACAUCAGAAGACAAGGCACAUUAUUAAGAUAACUGUUACAUCGAUGAAGCCCUGCUUUGUAGAACAUUGGUUUGGGAAGUCUCACCUGAUCUAUCUGAAAUAGUCAUUGCAAGGAACCUUGUGACAAGCUCCUGUUGCCACCCAGACAGCCACCAACCACCCCGUGAAAGAGAUUUGAUUCCAGCAUGUAAGUGUUACUGUAUGCCAAGAUGAUGAUUGGUUUUAUUAUCAUUAUUCUUUUGAACAAGCAGUGU